rnacentral:rRNA from 1 species
CCUACGGGUGGCAGCAGUGGGGAAUAUUGCACAAUGGGGGCAACCCUGAUGCAGCGACGCCGCGUGAGUGAAGAAGUAAUUCGUUAUGUAAAGCUCUAUCAGCAGGGAAGAAAAUGACGGUACCUGAGUAAGAAGCCCCGGCUAACUACGUGCCAGCAGCCGCGGUAAUACGUAGGGGGCAAGCGUUAUCCGGAUUUACUGGGUGUAAAGGGAGCGUAGGCGGCAGUGCAAGUCUGAAGUGAAAGGCGGGGGCUCAACCCCCGGACUGCUCUGGAAACUGUACGGCUGGAGUGCAGGAGAGGUAAGUGGAAUGCAUAGUGUAGCGGUGAAAUGCGUAGAUAUUAGGCGGAACACCAGUGGCGAAGGCGGUUUACUGGACCACAACUGACGCUGAGACACGAAAGCGUGGGGAGCAAACAGGAUUAGAUACCCGGGUAGUC